AUUGAACGCUGGCGGCAGGCCUAACACAUGCAAGUCGAGCGGAUGAAGGGAGCUUGCUCCUGGAUUCAGCGGCGGACGGGUGAGUAAUGCCUAGGAAUCUGCCUGGUAGUGGGGGAUAACGUCCGGAAACGGGCGCUAAUACCGCAUACGUCCUGAGGGAGAAAGUGGGGGAUCUUCGGACCUCACGCUAUCAGAUGAGCCUAGGUCGGAUUAGCUAGUUGGUGGGGUAAAGGCCUACCAAGGCGACGAUCCGUAACUGGUCUGAGAGGAUGAUCAGUCACACUGGGACUUAGGAACGGUCCAGACUCCUACGGGAGGCAGCAGUGGGGAAUAUUGGACAAUGGGCGAAAGCCUGAUCCAGCCAUGCCGCGUGUGUGAAGAAGGUCUUCGGAUUGUAAAGCACUUUAAGUUGGGAGGAAGGGCAGUAAGUUAAUACCUUGCUGUUUUGACGUUACCAACAGAAUAAGCACCGGCUAACUUCGUG
rnacentral:rRNA from 1 species